rnacentral:hammerhead_ribozyme from 1 species
GCACCGCUGACGAGUCUCUCAAACAGGACGAAACAGCUGUCUGGUGC